rnacentral:lncRNA from 1 species
GGGGGUUAUGUGUGUGUGUGCAUGCGUGCGUCUGUCCGUCCGUGAGAGAGAGAGAGUGUGUGUGUGUGUGUGUGUGUGUGCGUGUGUGCGUGUAAGAGAGACAAAGCAUGGCACAGGAAGGCAUGUGUAGAUGCUACAAUCAGUGGUCAUUUUGUCUGUAGCUAUAUAUUGUAGUGCAAGGAACUAGAGAUGUGCUCUUCAGCCCUAUGGUGCAAAAAUGCUGCUGUAGCCUAUAAUCAACACAAGAUCAGUACCACACAGAGGAAUUCUAGGGCGUAUACCACUGAUAUCAUUGUAACUGUCAACACCCAACAUGAAUGGUGUCAAGAUGGUGUUUUGAGCAGUUCUAGGUCACAAGUGCUUAUUUUUUACGUCUUGUUCAUUUUAAGUAUGGAGAGAAGAGAGUGACAAAGAGGAGAGAAAAAAACAAGCUGAAAACUUGUCAGUGGAAUUAAAGAGCACAUUGACAGAAGGAAAUCGUGGCAUUCAAUGUGAAAAUUUGAGGGAAAAAGCUCCUGAUUAGUCCAGUAAGACGUGCCAGUUGUGUUCGACUAGAGCUAGAUUUUUUAUCUCUUCUGAAUGGUAUAGAUAUAUUUUAGGUCAACUGUUUUUGUUGAAAUGUCUUAUUAUUUGUAGUGUUCAUAUACGUUAGUAGGUGGGUAAUUCUUCAUUUGAACAUGGUUUACUUUGUUUUCACAUAAUUUGCCUUGUUGCCGCGCCAUUACGCAAAUUGUCUUAGUUACAGUGUCUGUUCCAUUGUGUUCUGUGGUAUGUUUUAAUCAACUCCAUUAAAUAUUCAAAAGUGAAUUCUGCUACAAGUUCAAGAGACUCUCUAAAAAGGUUUUUUUUUGUUGGUAAUACAUGCAGAAGCACUUGGUAAAAUCAUGUCCACAGCUCUGUUUACUUCUGAGUUGGAUUCAGUGUGGAGCAGCAUUCAUUAAUUGAUGCAGCACUCCUUAUUAGAACAACUCUUAGCUGUUCAGUUUCUCUCGUUAACCGAUCUGUUUCCAGUUUCAUUUGAAAUGAGAUGCUUUGAUUUAUUUAGAAUGAAGACAGAAACCAAAUGGCCGCGGUGAAAAUGAGGAAAGCACAGGGUUCGAAAUUAGCUUAUUAUCAUCAAUGGCACAACACUGUGGCUUUUGUCACUCACUGUGGCAUGGAGGAUGGUGGUUAAAGAACAGGAUUCAGUAGCGUGAUGACGCGCACACAACUUUGCAGAUUUUAUUAGAUUCUUGGACAAAAGGCUUCUAUACGCAGGACUAAACUAAUUGGAUCAGCACAAACUCAUCACAUAAACAUUUUGUCUCAUUUUAACCCAAUUGAAAAACCAAAAUGCAACAAAUGGCCUCAAUGUUUUGUUAAUUUUCCACUGCAAAUAUCAAUCAAAGCUGAGCGUUGAACUGACAUCUGUGCCCAGUGGAUUUGGGAGAUUGGCUGCAUAUCCAGACAUAUAUUUGUCAUCAUUUGAUACAACAGAAUAUCUUUUAAUCAAUGGGGAGAGGUUCUUUAAUUCUGAGCACACUUUUUAAGUCAAUAAUUCUAAAGCCUUUGUGAGAAUAAGGAGGAUGUGAGCUACAUAUUUUGGGGAAGAAACAAGAAACAAGGCUACACUGCGAUUUAGGAUCUCUUAUUUAGGUCUGCCACUGAUGAUAAACUUAUGG